rnacentral:rRNA from 1 species
GACAGAGGGUGCAAACGUUGCUCGGAAUUACUGGGCGUAAAGCGCGUGUAGGCGGUCACGCAAGUCAGGUGUGAAAGCCCAGGGCUCAACCCUGGAAGUGCACAUGAUACUACGUGGCUGGAGUACUGAAGAGGAGAGCGGAAUUCCCGGUGUAGAGGUGAAAUUCGUAGAUAUCGGGAGGAACACCAGUGGCGAAGGCGGCUCUCUGGGCCGGAACUGACGCUGAGGAGCGAUAGCGUGGGUAGCAAACAGG